UUUAAUUUUAAUAGAUUAGCAUUCGUGCAAUGUAGUGUUUUGUCUUUGAUAAAAAAAAAAUCUUUCUGUUUCAAGUUAUUUUGUUGGUAGAUGUUUGUUUGGGAGGAGGUAGACCAAUUGUUCUUAGUUAGAAUCGGAUGAUGGAUAAUGAAGUUAUUCUUGCUUUGGAUUUAAAAGAGACUAAUUACAAAAAAAAAAUGACCGAAUCCCUUUUUAUUGAUUAUCGAUUAUCGAAAUUUUUACAUAUAUUAUUAAUAAUGAUACCACAAUUUUUUUUAAAAAGUUUUUAUCAACAUCAAUAAUUUUUACCGAAUCUCUAGUCGUUCCACCACGAAAACAUCCUCCUUCACAACUUAUUUUUCAUCUUUUAUUUUUCUCCUUUACCACUUAUAUUUUGGUAUAGAAUAUCACACUCUUCCAUCUUUUAAACCAAAUUCUUCUUCAAAUGUUUAGGUGCUUGUCUAACACCAUCAAUACAAUUCACAACCAUUAUUAUGGAUACUUUGUAAAGGAGAGUUGGAGAGGUGUAGAUUAAGGGUAUUAAUGUAACUAGGAUGAAACCCGCGCUAUGCCGCGGGUAUGUUUUUGAAUGUAAUUUUUUAAAAUGAUAUGUACCUUAAGCAUCAAUAGAGAAUCAUUCUUGUCUGUUCCUAUCUUUUGGCAAGCUUAGAUGAGUUGACGUCGUUGAUGAUUCUCUAUGGAAUUCUUUUUCUUUUUUUUCAUGGAAGUUUGUAUUUCUUAUUUCAUGGCGAUGAUAGUGCGUCUCAUUCUGGUGUAUGUGCUAACUUUAUUUCCACAAUUCCACUUACAAAAGUUGGUAUCAGGAGAGUUUGUACAAAUAUUUGCAGGCUUUAUGAUAUUCUUCUCGAUUCUUGGUAAGCUUGUCUCUUAUAUAAAAAUCCAUUUAGAAUUGAAGUAGAUCCCAUUAAGUAAUCUUCUUAUAUAUAUCCAAUGCAGGGAAGUUUGGGGCAGUAUUCGCAUCAAUACGUGCUCCUAUAAACGCUGCCUUGUACUGUCUCUUCUUUGCCUAUAUAUGUAGCUCUUGAAAAAGUUUUCUAAAGAUCUGCCGUCUUGGAGAUAGUGAAAAAAGUUGGAUGGCACGGCUCCAGUUACGUCUUUGGUGUUUCUCUGUUCGUGGAGGAGACAAAGAUCAUGCAUGAGGUAAA